UACGGAGGGGGCUAGCGUUGUUCGGAAUUACUGGGCGUAAAGGGAGCGUAGGCGGACAUUUAAGUCAGGGGUGAAAUCCCGAGGCUCAACCUCGGAACUGCCUUUGAUACUGGAUGUCUUGAGUGUGAGAGAGGUGAGUGGAACUCCGAGUGUAGAGGUGAAAUUCGUAGAUAUUCGGAAGAACACCAGUGGCGAAGGCGACUCACUGGCUCAUUACUGACGCUGAGGCUCGAAAGCGUGGGGAGCAAACAGG
rnacentral:rRNA from 1 species